rnacentral:rRNA from 1 species
UACGGAGGGGGCGAGCGUUAUUCGGAAUUAUUGGGCGUAAAGGGCGCGUAGGCGGCUUGUCAAGUCAAAGGUGAAAUCCCUCGGCUCAACUGAGGAACUGCCUUUGAAACUGACUGGCUUGAGGCCGGGAGGGGGUAGCGGAAUUCCCAGUGUAGCGGUGAAAUGCGUAGAUAUUGGGAGGAACACCAGUGGCGAAGGCGGCUACCUGGACCGGUUCUGACGCUGAUGCGCGAAAGCGUGGGUAGCAAACAGG